CCCAGGCACACGAUGACUAAAGCCUUUAAAGACGCUCAGCACAUUCUGAUCUGCUCAGUCUUGUUGGGCUCUCCAGCUGAACUCUUCAUGUCCGACUUCUCUGACUAAGAGGACCUGAAGACUCUCUGUGGUGAGGAGGAUCAGCCAAGAAAUAAAGCGAGAGCCGGUACUGAAGCUUCAGUUUUCACCCUGCAGUCUUCUGAGUGGUGAGGAGUUUGUACGCAAGGAGCUGGAGGUGACAUGGAGUGAAAUCAGGAGGAGACUUGAGGAGAGAGAGAAGACCCUGAAGGAGACAAACAAGGCAGAGGAGCAGAUGAAGGUG